UACGUAGGGGGCAAGCGUUUGUCCGGAAUCAUUGGGCGUAAAGAGCGUGUAGGCGGCCUGAUAAGUCGGCUGUGAAAGUCAAGGGCUCAACCCUUGAAUGCCGGCCGAUACUGUCAGGCUAGAGUCCGGAAGAGGCGAGUGGAAUUCCUGGUGUAGCGGUGAAAUGCGCAGAUAUCAGGAGGAACACCGAUGGCGAAGGCAGGUCUCUGGGCCACUACUGACGCUGAGAAGCGAAAGCGUGGGGAGCGAACAGG
rnacentral:rRNA from 1 species